GCAGGCUAUUGAAAGCAAAGUGCUGUUCUUUCUGGAAAUACUCAGAUGGGAAACCUCUGCAAAGGAGCUGACAGAAGCUCUCAGGGAUCGAUUGCACAAAGGCUGUGCCAACCACUAUUUUUGAAAUUUGAGCUGAGUUAGAACAGGCUUUCUUGGUGCUGGAAGAAAGACAAGUCAGAGGCAGCGACAGGAAGCAAACAAGAGCAAAGUCAUGGGAGAGCUGAGCAGCACUGCCUGGAUACCUGGGGAAGCUGAGAGAAGCUGUUGUCAUACGCAUCAACACCGAGCAAGAGCUCUCUAGCAAAGGCAAACUCACUCAGGCAACAUCAGAAGAAAGGCUCCAAAAGGCCCAUGAUGGAUCACUGGGAUCACUGAUUUUACCAGGUGACAUUCAAGGGACCAUUGUCAUGCAAACUGAGCCACAG